AAAAUGGCGCCUUUCGGCGCCAUUUUUAGUAAAAAAAUAUUACUU
rfam:Escherichia hermannii NBRC 105704 DNA, contig: EH10570401.